CCCAAUAAAAAACCGCAAAUCGAACCAAACCAGACCGAAAACCGCAAAAACCGCAUUUUUUUCGGAUGAGUUUGGGUCAUUUUGUGGCAGAACCGUGCGGUUCGGUUCGGUUUGCGGUUUACAUGUUGAAACCGGCCCAAACCAAACCAAACCGCUGAACUUAUAUAAUACCCCAUAUUUUUAACUUUUUUUACCUUUAAUUAUAUAUUUACCUAGAAAAUAACUACAGCCCAUUGCUUACAAAGUUACACUUCAAGGCCCAAUUUCCAAAACCGGCCCAUUGUGCAACUUACAAUCUUACCCUAGGUUUCCAUCGUUCCACUUCUACAACAAACAGCAAACACGAAGCAACACAAAACAACCUUCAGCUUCAGUCCAAAUCGCAAUUCGCAGCAACAAUCGUUCGUGACCUCAGCUUCAGUCCAAAUCGCAACAACAAACAACAAACACGAAGCAAGCACAACAAUCGUUCCAAAAGUUUAGCGUUUCAAAACCAAAAGUUCGUGACCUCGGUUUCUAUUAUCUUCAGUUCCAAAUCGAAACACUGAAGGAUCCAAACAACCUACAAAUAUGUAAUCAUUCAACGACUCGAGCUUUCCAACUUCCAAGAGAAGAAAACAUAGAGAAUUAAAGAAACAAUAAUGAGCAAACUUGACAUGCGUGAAAUCUUUUGGCUUUUAGACUUUCAAAGUUCAUAGAAGAGGAAGAAUCAGAAGAACCUGUAUAAAAGCGGAAUUCCUCUUAGAACAAAAACACAAAAAAGAACUUCAUCCAAAGGAAUCAGAGAAGAGGAAGAAGCAAAAUGAUUACUUUUGUUGAAACUUCCAAAAAUGUUGAGAACAAAAAUUGUUGUAGAUGUAGAGGCCAGAGCUUCUGUCCAAAAUCCUCCUCAGAAUCAAGAAGAGGUCUAAAUUGUCAAUGUGUGAUUGAAUAUUUUUAGCAAGAGGAUCUGUUAUGAAAUUUUAGAAGUGAAUUUCCAAAGAAGAAAAAGGAAGAUUUUUCUCCAAAAGGAGCUUUGGAGUUUCUUUUUUGAUUACCAUGUAUGUUUUGCUGCCAUGGUUGAACCGUGUUUUGCUUGUAAUGCUUGAAUCUUAUCUCUGUUUGCAUUUUGAAUGUAUCGUGUGGAUUUAUAUGC